GCUGCGGAGGUCAUGGAUCGUCUGGUGGAUGCCUUUCGGAGAGGCAUUAGGUGGAGAUCUAGCAAGAGAGGAAGGAGAAAAUAUCGAAGAAGAUGAUCAAAAACAAUCCCACUGAGUACUCCUUUAAGAACAAGGGUACUGCGAAGACACAGGCCCUUUCCUCUAGCACCAAUUCUGUUGGUGCAGAAUUUUAUCAAUGCCGGAGGAGCUGGAGUCGAGAUGACCGCGGCCGCCAUCGAAACCUGCAAAGAAAGUCUAAACCAGAGUUGGGGGUGCUCUGGCA
rnacentral:lncRNA from 1 species